rnacentral:lncRNA from 1 species
CCAGACUGGAAGCUGAGCCCCGGGAGGCAGCAAAAGACACCGGGAGAGGGGCUGGAGAAGGCCAAAACAAGAGCAGGGGAAUCACAGUCAAGGUUGCGGAGCCACAAAAGACAGCAUGCAGACCGCGGACCUGCCACACGGAGAAGCCCUGUGGAUGGCAGGAGGCCAGGGAAGGAUGUGGAGAGGGGCCUGGAGGGAGGGGCGGCAGCACCCACGAACCGAAGAGCGGGAACUUGUGCGUGCAACUGGUCCCCCGGAACGUUGGACUUCACCAUCAGAGGGUACCACCAAGGACUUUGAGGUAGGGGGUGCGGCGAAAGGACAGGACACAAAGGCUAAACACAGCUACGCAGAAAACAGAAAGAAACCUUUCUGAGAACCAACCAGGAAGCUUAAAAACAAUCGAAACCCUGGAGCGACUUUGCAAUGAAAAAGCUGAAGAGGCAAAGAAAGACAAAUCCAGAUCGGAGAGUGAGGGAAGGGAAGAGUUAGAAGCCAAGGAAAGCAAACUGCACCAGGAACUAAAAGGAAAAAUUAAAUCAAUAAAGGAAAUUUUCAAAAAUCAUGCCAGAGCGAACUUGUUCCUGAAACUGCCAACAGAGGGAGGAAAAAAGGGUGGGGGCACCGAACAUACUGGAGAAACCAAAAGUAAAGAAAGGAAGGGAGUGAAGACAGGAUGCAAAUUAAACCAGACACGACAUAGAUAUCUGUUCCAAGACAAUCUUCUCAUCAUAGAUGUGGCAGGACAGCUAACAGGUGUCUGGGCUCUGUGCAUCCUCAUCUAUGAUGUGAGUUUUGAGUGAGA